CAGGCGUACAGGUAGUACAGACACUUCAUCUUCUCCUCCGUGUCAAGACUGUGAGGGACCAUGUACUGGGCAAAGAUCUUCUCUACUAAUAACCUGAAGAAAGGGGAUAAAAUUUACAAUUAAUUGAAUGAACACAGAGCGAAAGAACAAGGAUGAGGUUAAUGAGGAUGGUAUCCAGCAGCUCCUGUGUGACUCCGUCUCCCUCCAUGAUGAUAGAACUCAUCAGGUCCAUCAUAUGCAUCUGAACCUUCUGGUUAUGGCUGUUACUGUGGAGAAAGAGGGACAGAGAGACUGAGACAGGGACAUUUUGCACUCAAGCGUUACCUGAUGAAACGAGACAGAACAAAAACAAAAGAAGAAGAAAGAAUCUGUGAUAAAUUAAAAAUAAAGAAUGGUUAUUAAUCAUAACCUCCUCUA